UCUGUGGAGUCCCCCUGAGCCUGUAGAGAGCCCAGGACAGGCUGUGCAGGUCAUGGAAUUGCAGGAUCAUCCAGGUGGACAGGCCUCUAGGAUCCCUGAAUUUGUCUGUUAACAGGCCAGUUUGCUCCCAGACUCUUUUCUUCCUCAUUCUUGAAAUCAUUUAGAUUGGAAAAGACCUUUCAGAUCACCAAAUCUAACGAUGCUCUAAAGAAACCUCUUUCAUCGGGAAAAUGCUGACUGGGAAAAGUUUGGAUCUACACCAGGAGAUGAGGUGACCUCUGUGCAGGUGGAUGUGUGGAGGAGAGGGAACCUGGGCUGACCAGGAGCUGUGUCCUGCUCCCAGCACAGCCUCACACUCCAGUUACAACCAGCGAGCACCUGGAAAGGGAGCCCGGACACAGAACACAGGAGCCCAGUGAGAGGCGAGCAGGAGUGACUGGGCACUUGGCAGGGAAUGAAAUGCAGUUUGCAGGGAAUGAAAUGCAGUUUGCCUCCACGCCAAGCCUUGAUGGCUUCAUUCUGCUUCUUCAGGCUCUCAAGCCCUGCUGCCUGGAGCCAGCUCCUUGCAGGGCUGGGAGGAAGGGAUGGAGGCAGGGAAGGAGGAGGCCUCCUGCAAGCCUCUCCAAAUAUUUAACUCCGUGGAAACUCUGCCUUUCAGAGGUCUCAGUUCUGCUGUGGGGUAUCCUGGCAAUGGAUGUUACCUGCCCUUGGUGCUCCCAGCCCUGCUGCAAAAUCACAGUGCUGCCUCCAGGACAAAUGUUCAUGGAAAUAAAAAAGCAUCCAGCAAGUGUUUCCAUCCAGACACCUUCCACAGAUAAGUCUCAUCCUCACCCCCUGACUCAGUGCAGGAGGAUCCAGUCCUGGCAAUAUUUUGGCAGCUCCAAGGACAGCACAGCCUGUCCAACACCUUCACCUCUCACCACAUCCAGCUCCAGACCUCUCCUGGCUCCUUCCCUUGAGGAUAUUGCCUUCUGGAAGAGGAGCUUGGAUCAUGGGCAGAGGCAGAGCAGAAACUGCCCAAUUUUGAGUUGGGCUGAGAGCAGCAAGUUACAACUGCUCCAGCAGCAGCCCCUGACCAGCUCCCACCCCACCCAUGGAAGGGAUCACAUUCCCACUUCCAGGCUCAGCUCAGAGGUAUCAGCCUCUUCUCAUUUUGGAGGGUUCUUGACUUUCUUUCUCUCUUGCUUUUUCUUUUUUUUUUUUUUCGUUUUUCCUUCAGCUUUUCUCUUCCUCCUUUUUUCUUUUUCUCUCUUUUCUUUUUCUUUCCCCCCCCUCCUGCCUCCCUAUGCAGCCUCUGUUCUUCAUCCAUUAUUUAGGCUUUUCUGACUGUAACAGCAACAUUCGCCUUGUAUACCUUGUGUGGGGUUUAAAAUAUAGAUAAAAGCAGAAGGUCAGACUUGAAACACAGAUUCUGACGGUUGCUGCUGACUUUGUCUGGAAGCUACAAAAUCUGGAGCUUUCUGUGCCCAGCAAUGGUUUCGGUACAAUUGGGUUUUUGGGGGUUUAGGGGUUUUUUUUGUCUGGUUGAUAUUCCUGCAAACUGUCUUGGUGUUUGAUGCUUUCAUCCAGCCUUUCAGUUUCUAAAUGUUCUGAGGCCUGGCUGGCUUCAGGACAGGGGAGCUGGAGCCAUGGAAUUCCUGCUUGGAGGUCCAGUCUUGACCCAGCACAGCAAAUACCUGCUGCUCUCCUGUCCAGGGCGAGCCGGGGAGGGGAGGAGGUGCCUCCAUCCACAUCCAGCAGGCUCUAAUUGGCACCUCUGGUCAGCAGAGCCGAGGACUUUCCCUUUCAAUUAUAAAUAAAUGCCCUGCUUCUUUUAUGUUGCUUUCUUCAGCCGUCAGAGAGAUUGGAUUUUGAGGACAAAUGUUUGUGGGAAAUAAAUUUCAAAGUCAAUGUGGGAAUAGUCCCAGAAAACAUGAAACACUUCAUUGU